rnacentral:ncRNA from 1 species
GUGCCUCAAAAGAGUCACGGCCGCGUGUUAAUAGCCGAGUUUCAUUGGCCGAAAAUCGGUGGUUAGUGAAUC